rnacentral:rRNA from 1 species
AGGGAAUUUUCGGCAAUGGACGAAAGUCUGACCGAGCAAUGCCGCGUGAACGAUGAAGGUCUUCGGAUUGUAAAGUUCUGUUGUUAGGGAAGAAUAGUAUGACUAGGAAAUGAGUUAUAUUUGACGGUACCUUACUAGAAAGCUCCGGCUAACUAUGUGCCAGCAGCCGCGGCAAUACAUAGGGAGCAAGCGUUAUCCGGAAUUAUUGGGCGUAAAGAGUGCGUAGGUGGUUUAUUAAGUCUGGUGUGAAAUUUCACGGCUUAACUGUGAAGGGUCAUUGGAAACUGGUAAACUUGAGUACGGUAGAGGUGAGUGGAAUUCCAAGUGGAGCGGUGGAAUGCGUAGAUAUUUGGAGGACCACCAAUGGCGAAGGCAGCUCACUGGGCCGGAACUGACACUGAUGCACGAAAGCGUGGGGAGCAAAC